UACGUAGGGUGCAAGCGUUAAUCGGAAUUACUGGGCGUAAAGCGUGCGCAGGCGGUUGUGCAAGACAGAUGUGAAAUCCCCGGGCUUAACCUGGGAAUUGCAUUUGUGACUGCACGGCUAGAGUGUGUCAGAGGGGGGUAGAAUUCCACGUGUAGCAGUGAAAUGCGUAGAUAUGUGGAGGAAUACCGAUGGCGAAGGCAGCCCCCUGGGAUAACACUGACGCUCAU
rnacentral:rRNA from 1 species